AAAUUAUGUGAUCAAGCUGCUAAGGGCUGUUGGUGAAUGCCUUGGCAUCAAAAGGCGAAGAAGGACGCGGAAACCUGCGAAAAGCUACGGGGAGCUGGAAGAAAGCAUCGAUCCGUAGGAAUCCGAAUGGGGCAACCCGGUAAGAAUAAUAUCUUAUCAUUCAUAACUGAAUACAUAGGUUAUGAAAGCGAGACCUGCCGAAGUGACACAUCUCAGUAGGCAGAGGAAAAGAAAUCUAUAAGAGAUUCCCUCAGUAGCGGCGAGCGACAGGGGAAGAGCCUAAACCGAUAAUUCUAUUAUCGGGGUUGUAGGGCUUUACAUAAAGCGAAGUUAUCCUUAACGGAAUUACCUGGGAAGGUAAGCGAUACAAGGUGAUAGCCCUGUACGUGAAAAGCAUAACAAGCGAGUAGAGUACCUGAGUAGGGCCGGCCACGUGGAAUCCGGUCUGAAUCUAGGGGGACCACCCUCUAAGGCUAAAUACUCAUUGAUGACCGAUAGUGAACCAGUACCGCGAGGGAAAGGUAAAAAGAACCCUUGUUAAGGGAGUGAAAUAGAACCUGAAACCAACAGCUUACAAACGGUCGGAGGCCUAUGCCGCAUUUAAUGCGGAAUGGCUGACGGCGUGCCUUUUGCAUGAUGAGCCAGCGAGUUAAGUUAUAGGGCAAGGUUAAGGGACUUUCGUUCCGGAGCCGAAGCGAAAGCGAGUGUGAAUAGCGCGUUAAGUCCUAUAAUUUAGACACGAAACCAAGUGAUCUAUCCAUGACCAGGAUGAAGCAAGGGUAACACCUUGUGGAGGUCCGAACUAGUGUCUGUUGAAAAAGCCUUGGAUGAGUUGUGGAUAGGGGUGAAAGGCCAAUCAAACUUGGAGAUAUCUUGUUCUCUUCGAAAUAACUUUAGGGUUAACCUCAGCAAUUAAUAAUUCGGGGGUAGAGCACUGGAUCCACGAGGGAGGCUACCGCCUUACCAAAGGGAACCAAACUCCGAAUACCGGAUUAGAUGCUGGGAGAUAGACUGCGGGGGAUAAGCUUCGUAGUCAAAAGGGGAACAGCCCAGAUCGUCGAUUAAGGCCCCUAAAUCUAUGCUAAGUGAGUAAGGAAGUGAAGUCUCAAAGACAGUUGGGAUGUUGGCUUAGAGGCAGCCAUCAUUUAAAGAGUGCGUAACAGCUCACCAAUCGAGAGACUUCGCGCCGAUAAUAUACGGGACUAAAGCAUAGUGCCGAAAUCACGGGUUUAUAUUCGUUAAGAAUAUAAGCGGUAGAAGAGCGUUGUAUGUGCGAAGAAGAUAUACCGUAAGGAGUGUUGGAGCGCAUACAAGUGAGAAUGCAUGGCAUGAGUAAACGAUAAAGGAAGUGAAAAUCUUCCUCGCCGAAAACCUAAGGAUUCCAGGGUAAAGCUCGUCUUCCCUGGGUUAGCCGGUCCCUAAGCUAAGGCUGAAAAGCGUAGGCGAUGGAAAGCAGGUUAAAUAUUCCUGCGCCACCUAAGAUCUAUACAAUGGGGUGACGAAGUAAGUUAAGCACGCGGACGAUUGGAAAUGUCCGUUUCUGCAUGCGGUUGGUUGAUAGGUAAAUCCGUCAACAUAAUACCGGGUGUAGGACAAAGGGAACCUUCGGGGGAACUGAUGGUGUAGCGCGAUACUUCCAAGAAAUAGCCUCUAGUUUUCGAUGGUGACCGUACCAAAACCGACACAGGUGGGUGUGAAGAAUAUUCUCAGGCGCGCGAGAGAACGCUCGUUAAGGAACUCUGCAAAUUAUCCUCGUAACUUCGGGAGAAGAGGAACCGCAGACUGUAAUUAACUUCGCGUUAAGAGCAGUAGGCGGUCGAAGCGAAAUGGCCCAGGCGACUGUUUAACAAAAACACAGCACUCUGCUAAGUCGUCUAAGACGAUGUAUAGGGUGUGAAGCCUGCCCAAUGCCAAAAGGUCAAAAGGAGGUGUCAGCAGCAAUGCAAAGCACUGAAUUUAAGCCCUGGUGAAUGGCGGCCGUAACUAUAACGGUCCUAAGGUAGCGAAAUUCCUUGUCGGGUAAGUUCCGACCUGCACGAAUGGCCUAACGAUCUGGGCACUGUCUCGACGAGCGACUCGGUGAAAUUGUAGUAGCGGUGAAGAUGCCGUUUACCCGCAACAAGACGGAAAGACCCCGUGAACCUUUACUGUACUCUGAUAUGGGCUUCUAACUUUUCAUGUGUAGGAUAACCAGGAGACUAUGAACCAGGCUCGUCAGGGCUUGGGGAGUCAACGUUGAAAUACUGGUCUUGAAAGGUCGGAAAUCUAACCUCAUCCCGUGGAGCCGGGAGAGGGACAGUGUCAGACGGGCAGUUUGACUGGGGCGGUAUCCUCCCAAAAAGUAACGGAGGAGUCCAAAGCUUACCUCAUUGUGGUUGGCAAUCACAAGAAGAGCGUAAAGGUAUAAGGUAGGUUAACUGCGAGACCAGCGAGUCAAGCAGGUACGAAAGUAGGGCUUAGUGAUCCGGCGGUUGAAAGUGGAAUCGCCGUCGCUUAACGGAUAAAAGGUACUCCGGGGAUAACAGGCUUAUCGCCACCAAGAGUUCAUAUCGACGUGGCGGUUUGGCACCUCGAUGUCGACUCAUCACAUCCUGGGGCUGGAGAAGGUCCCAAGGGUUUGGCUGUUCGCCAAUUAAAGUGGUACGUGAGUUGGGUUCAAAACGUCGUGAGACAGUUUGGUCCCUAUCUGUUGUGGGCGUAGGAUACUUGAGAAGAGCUGCUUCUAGUACGAGAGGACCGAAGUGGACGAACCAAUGGUGUUCCGGUUGUACUGCCAAGUGCAUCGCCGGGUAGCUAUGUUCGGAAAGGAUAAGCGUUGAAAGCAUCUAAACGCCAAGCCUCCUUCAAGAUAAGGUAUCCCUAUGAGACCCCCUGAAGAUUACAGGGUUGAUAGGUGAGAUGUGUAAGCGUAGUAAUGCGUUGAGCUAACUCAUACUAAUUGGUCCAUUGGCUUGAUCACUUUU
rnacentral:rRNA from 1 species